AGUGAACGUUGGCGGCGUGGAUUAGGCAUGCAAGUCGAGCGAUCGUAGCAAUACGGGAGCGGCAAACGGGGUAGGAAUACAUCGGAACGUACCUUUUGGUUGAGAAUAGCGUUGGGAAACUGACGGUAAUACUCAAUAAAGUCGAGAGACCAAAGGUUUACUGCCGGAAGAGCGGCCGAUGCGAUAUUAGGUAGUUGGUGGGGUAAUGGCCUACCAAGCCUGAGAUGUCUAGGGGGUGUGAGAGCAUGGCCCCCACCACUGGGACUGAGAUACUGCCCAGACACCUACGGGUGGCUGCAGUCGAGGAUCUUCGUCAAUGGGCGAAAGCCUGAACGAGCGACGCCGCGUGCGGGAUGAAGGCCCUUGGGUUGUAAACCGCUGUCAGGGGGAUGAAACCGUAAGGUUGACAGAGCCCCAGAGGAAGCACGGGCUAAGUUCGUG
rnacentral:rRNA from 1 species